GCCCCCCUGUACAUAGUUGUGUAUUCCAGCUGUGGGUCCUUCCAGUUCUGCUGUGUGGGACGCCAUCUCAGCGUGGCUUGAUGAGCGGUGCUAGGUCUGUGCCCAGGAUCCGAACCAGUGAAACCCCGGGCUGCUGAAGUGGAGCACGUGAACUAACCACUCAGCCACGGGGCCAGCCCCAGAAUGGAUAACCUGGUUAUCCUCAGAUGCUCCCCCAGACCUGGAGUUCUCGGCUCUGCUGAAAAUGAUGCUGCAUCCAGCUAAUCCAAGGUGGCACUGUGAAGGGGGGACUGCUUCAGAACUACAAGCACAGCAAGAGGAUUAAAGGCACCACACCCACCUGCUCAUAUGGGAAAGGACAUGAAAGGGAAGAGAGCAGGCAUGAAUGGGUGCGAUCUUAGCAGGGGGCCUAGGAAAGAAGAAUGGGAAAAUUCAAGUGAGAGGCAGGUGCUGCGGGGAAGGUUGGAUGUAAGACCAUUUUUAAGAGACCAGACUAUCACAUCAGGCCCUGGCCACCUCCAGCUGGGAAGGCCAUCGUGGGCCAGGGCCAGCGUGAGCCCUCGUGGGCAGGAGACAUGAGGAGCCUGUAGAAUCAGAGAGGCUCAGGGAGCAAGAGGCAGCGAGGUGCAGCUGAAAGAAGAUACACUUCGGACUCAGAGAUGGUUUGGGGUCAGCGAGCUCCUGGUGCUACGAGGGUGUCCCCCCGUGCAGGUCACUUCACGCUCUGAGCCUCAGUGUCUGCUGCUGCAAGAGAGUAUUCUCGCCUUCACUUUUCCACGGCUUAGCUGUUUCUCAGCCUUCAGGUCUCAGAAUAACAACGACUGCCACUAUUGUUACUGCUUCCACUGCUACGUUUACCGAGGGUUCAGGGUGUGCUUGGCCCUGUGGGAAGCACUCUCUGUCCUCUGCCUCAACCAACAGGACUUCCGAGAGGUGCAGUCGAAAGAAUACAUACUUCAGACUUGGAGAUGUGCUUGGGGUCAGCUAGGUCCCCGUCCUACGAGCUGUGCAACCCUGAAAUUGGCCCAUGGUGGCAAACGCUGGUGUUUGGGUCUGCUCAGCCUCCAUUGCCCUUCUUCCUGUGAUUUACUUCGAGGACGUGCUCCUCCCUGUUCAGCAUGGUGUUGCAGUUUGAAGUCUGCAAAGGGCAGGAGCAGGGCCGGCCCGGUGGCGCAGCAGUUAAGUGUGCACGUUCUGCUUCAGCGGCCCGGGGUUCUCCGGUUCGGAUCCCGGGUGCGGACAUGGCACCACUUGGCACGCCAUGCUGGGGUAGGCGUCCCGCAUAUAAAGUGGAGGAAGAUGGGCAUGGAUGUUAGCUCAGGGCCAGUCUUCCUCACCAAAAAGAGGAGGAUUGGCAGCAGUUAGCUCAGGGCUAAUCUUCCUCAAGAAAAAAAAGGGGGGGUGGGCAGGAGCUGGCCCUUCCCAAGUGUGGCAACGCCAGGGCCUGGGCUGAGCUCCUGCUGCUGAGGUCCCCAGAGCUGCUGGUGCUGACUCCUGAGGCCAGCUCCAGCUCUGCCUCACUCGGUCACCACCCUCCCUUCACCCACCAUGGCCUCUCCCUCACCCGGAGGAGCGGAGGCCAGUGUGGCUUGCAGCCCAGGUGCCCUGACUGAGACACUCAGAAGACACCCCUGGGCACUCUUGCUUCAGAGCCAUUCCUUCCCCAUAAGUGGGGUCUUUGUUACCCACUUGGGAGCCUUUCAGAAAUAAGAUGUUGAAAAAAUUAAUUAGUGCAUUUAAAAGAUGAAGACAACGGUUUCUUCUCUUCUGCGCUUUCUCUCUGGAAAGAAAAGGGAGAUGUUGAUCCCAAACCCCAGGUUCCCAGGAACACACAGCCAGGCACAGGCUCCCUGGCAGUCCCCAGUCCUUGAUCAUCCACAGGCAGAGGAACCCAGGUGUCUGCUCACCCCAGCCCCCGUCCGGCACGGCCGGGCCUCUGCUCACCGUGAACAGACGCCUCUGCCUAGUGUUGGUGCCUCUCUCUCCGCCCUGGUCAGUGCUGCUUAAUGAACCGCAAAACACUUCCAGCCGCUCUCCGCGGGCUGACCACUCGUAAAUGACUGCCCUGGUGCCUCAUGGUGAAAAAUGCAUCUCCAAUCUCCGGGCAGCAACAG
ensembl:lncRNA